AAUGAACGCUGGCGGCAGGCCUAAAACAUGCAAGUCGAACGCUCUAGCAAUAGAGAGUGGCGCACGGGUGAGUAACACGUGGGAAUAUGCCUUUUAGUACGGAACAACGUCUGGAAACCGACGCUAAUACCGUAUGGUCCCUCCGGGGUAAAGAUUUAUCGCCAAAAGAUUAGCCCGCGUCUGAUUAGCUAGUUGGUGAGGUAAUGGCUCACCAAGGCGACGAUCAGUAGCUGGUCUGAGAGGACGAUCAGCCACACUGGGACUGAGACACGGCCCAGACUCCUACGGGAGGCAGCAGUUAGGAAUAUUGGACAAUGGGCGCAAGCUUGAUCCAGCCAUGCCGCGUGAGUGAUGAAGGCCUUCGGGUUGUAAAGCUCUUUAGUCCACGAAUAUAAUGACCGUAGUGGAAGAAUAAGCCCCGGCUAACUUCGUGCCAGCCGCCGCCGUAAUAC
rnacentral:rRNA from 1 species